AUUGAACGCUGGCGGCAGGCCUAACACAUGCAAGUCGAGCGGAUGAAGGGAGCUUGCUCCUGGAUUCAGCGGCGGACGGGUGAGUAAUGCCUAGGAAUCUGCCUGGUAGUGGGGGAUAACGUCCGGAAACGGGCGCUAAUACCGCAUACGUCCUGAGGAGAAAGGGGGGGAUCUUCGGACCUCACGCUAUCAGAUGAGCCUAGGUCGGAUUAGCUAGUUGGUGGGGUAAAGGCCUACCAAGGCGACGAUCCGUAACUGGUCUGAGAGGAUGAUCAGUCACACUGGAACUGAGACACGGUCCAGACUCCUACGGGAGGCAGCAGUGGGGAAUAUUGGACAAUGGGCGAAAGCCUGAUCCAGCCAUGCCGCGUGUGUGAAGAAGGUCUUCGGAUUGUAAAGCACUUUAAGUUGGGAGGAAGGGCAGUAAGUUAAUACCUUGCUGUUUUGACGUUACCAACAGAAUAAGCACCGGCUAACUUCGUG
rnacentral:rRNA from 1 species